GAUGAACGCUAGCGGCAGGCUUAAUACAUGCAAGUCGAGGGACAGCACAGGUAGCAAUACUGGGUGGUAACCGGCAAACGGGUGCGGAACACGUACACAACCUUCCUUUAAGUGGGGGAUAGCCCAGAGAAAUUUGGAUUAAUACCCCGUAAUAUAGUUGAAUGGCAUCAUUUGAUUAUUAUAGCUACGGCGCUUAAUGAUGGGUGUGCGGCUGAUUAGAUAGUUGGCGGGGUAACGGCCCACCAAGUCUACGAUCAGUAGCUGAUGUGAGAGCAGAACCAGCCACACGGGAACUGGGACACGGGCCCGACUCCGACGGGAGGCAGCAGUAAGGAAUAUUGGUCAAUGAACGCAAGUCUGAACCAGCCAUGCCGCGUGAAGGAUUAAGGUCCUCUGGAUUGUAAACUUCUUUUAUUUGGGACGAAAAAGGGCCUUUCUAGGUCAACUGACGGUACCAGAUGAAUAAGCACCGGCUAACUCCGUGCCAGCCGCCGCCGUAAGAC
rnacentral:rRNA from 1 species